rnacentral:snoRNA from 17 species
AGCCUUUGUGUUGCCCGUUCACUUUUGUAAACUAGUGAAUGUGGUGUCAAAAAAGGCACAAAUAAAUACUUUGCAGCCUUUUCCUGCCCUUAAAUUUUAUAUUUUUGGUGUAGGAACUGCAUAAGUGACAGUU